UGCAGUGCCUGAUGUCAUAAUGUGUUUAACGUAGGCGACAUGACCAGGUGGGUGUUGCUGCUGCAGCUGCAGUACCCUCACUGAUUGUUAAGCAUCUUUUUCAUAAAGAUUACCCAAAAUCAUUGUCGAUUUUGUAGAUGGCCCAUAAGUGGGGGAAUCGGCAGCUGCUGGGCCGCAGAAACAGCGUCAAGAGGACACGUCGUGGCCUUCGAGUCGUUGAUAUGUGUCGAUAAGAAAGCAACAUCUUCGCGAGUCAACCAACCUCGCAGCAGCUUCCGAUGCAGCCACGGUCAUGGUGGCAACGUAUUUGUGUGUCUGCCUUCUGGUUGUGAUCAUGGGGGACUCAAGCUCUCAUUUACUACCCUACAAAAACCAUUGACUGAUUAGUGUGGAAUCUCAACGUCACCGUAGCUUAGUAAACUGGGAUUCGAGAUUUGUGCCAAGAACUGUGAAGCUUUUUUGGCCAGUGUUGAUCACGAAACGCUUGUGACAAGAGGCGUGAGUGUUGUCUAAGUCGUGGUCGUGGAUUCUGCUUCGAAGUUCUUGUGGGUCUUUCAGACGCAAUCAAGUUGUGCUAUGAACUUGAACUCUCGAGAGUUUGGAAUGAAAGAAUCUAUCGUAUGUAUCUCAUAUACACAUACCGAGUGAAGAUCGCUCAUGUCCGUUGAUUUUUAUUUUUAUUUUUAUUUUUUCCUUUAGUAGCAGAAUCUCGUGAGCAGGGUUCCGACAGGCUGCAGUCGUGUGCAUAUUGAAUGCCGCGGAAUGAAUGUUACUGUAGAUCCCAGCUGCUUUGAGGCACAAAGAUUCCGGCAGCAAGCGCACCGUGUAUUUCAGAUCAGUCUCAUGGUAAAUUACAAAAUUGCCAUGUCGAGGCCAAUCUUUGAAAGGUAACUAAGAACGUUCACCAAAAUCCGCAUAGAGCUUGCCCGGAAACGAUCAAGAAUGGAUGUAUCGGCAUUGAAACGUGCAUACUAAAGUGAUGGAAAAGUACUCCAACAAGAUCUUCAUGCUCUGCAGAGCGCGUCCACAAGCAUUAUCCAGGGAUGCAUUGAGUCAUGCUUCUCGAGAGCUGGCGUUGCAUACGAAUUAACCACCGGGACAACUGUAGUUGGCACACAGAAAACCCUAACAUAGGAGGUGACACCUCCGCAGGUGAAACCUCCGCAGAAGCUGGAAAGGUUGGCGUGUCAGAUUCAUCGCAAUUCAAGCGUCUCGAUGUUACUGGCAACCCUUACUCUACUUUAGGGUUUAGGAGCUACUGCAAGUCGGAAACACUCAUGGAUUUAGGUUUUCGUGGCUGACGACAGAGUUAUCACAGAUUCAAAAUUGCAGUUAAUUGUAGUUUAUUGCAGGGGCUCGCAGUGAUCCUCUCUCCAGCGGAAAUCAUCUGAAGCACUGGAAAACGUGGCCCCGUAUCCCUGCUAUUCCUAUUUCCGCGCUUCUCGACUUUAAGAGGAACGACAGCGACAUGUGCAGGGAAAUUAGGCGGACAGGCAGAGCCUCACACUGUUCUCAUGUCUGCUGGACUCCGCCUUCUUCUUCUUCUUCUUCUUCUUCUGCAUCUUUCUCCUACUCCGCUUUGUCUUUUUUCUGGAUUCCUUUUUGGGGAUGAAAACUAAACAACUUGGAAAAGUAAGACAUACACAGGCUGUCAAUCAGAGUCUCAGCCAAGGUUGGCAGAGGUACUGGACUGUGAGUGCUAGAAUCCACAUCCAGGUUGGUAAAACCAUGGUCUCCAUUAAGACCACGUUUGUUUCAAAUUCUUUUCGAUAGCUGACGGAGUCACAUUACUUUUCAUCAAACUAUUUAGAAUCGUACUACAUCGCGCCAUUUCCAGCAUGCAUUGUAUCCCUCUACGAAAGAUGACGAACUUGAAACUCAUUAAUGGGUUCCUGGGCAUAAAACAAGAAUAAUAAAAUGAGUGCAUCUGCCAUGGCAGAACAACUCGGAAGCCGCCCCACGUCAGUGACGCGCAGGAUUUGAGCUGGGUGUACGUUCGCCCAGGAUGUCUACUUAGACCUGCCCCCAAAAGCUUUUCCCUUUCACUGAUCCACUAUCUCAGAUCUAACCUGUGAAUCAGAGGCGUCAUGGUCGGUGAGUCAUGGCAACGCGGUAAGCAGUUUAACCCAUCUGAUAUCAACGUCGUGAUGGGGGUAUUCGUACGUCAACUCUGAUUCCACAAAUCCCUACGAAUGUUGAAUCGCAUAUUGUUGGAUUAACUUGGACUCUGGCAUAAUAAUCCAGGACGGACAGAGACGCGGAUUGCGAGCUGGUGCGAGGAGGGUGUGAGGGCUUCUAUAGAAUUUAGAGAUAUAUAAAGCUGUACCAGAGGCACUGUCUGUGUUGACGAAAGGUUUCGGUAAUUGUUUCCACCGAUUUGUCCGCAGAGAUAGCAAGUCCUCCGGUCGAUCACAACAUGGCGCCUUUCUGGUCUCUGCCUAUCCAAACUGAAGCAACGAUCGACACAGAAAUGGCCAAAUUUGCUCGCAACGUCAUCAGUCGAAUUAGGGCCCAAUCGACGUUCCCAUUACCAUCCAAAGGCACAUUGCAUGGUAAGAUUUAAUCAAAACAUGUUCGCAUGGCGAAUCUAACAAUACCCGGCGGAAGCGGAUCCCUAAUAAUAUCGGUUUCUCUUCUGACGCUUGGCCCAAUCCUCUCGUAUGGAGCAGUCACUGAACACGAACUGGAAGCUGCCUAUGCCAGGUUUCGUGAUCAGUUCCAAUUUAGGCGCUGGAGCGAUCUGCGGCAGAGCCCAUCGAGGGACUCUCCUUCCGGAACUUCCAAAUCCAGCAAGCCUUCGCGCAUGCAUGUCAAGGGGCUCUGGCGCCGUACUUGGAUUAUAUAAAGUAACGGCAUUAUGUAUCCUCUAAUUGUAGCAGAAUAAUUUAGUUGCAGCUUGGAAU